rnacentral:tRNA from 2 species
GCGGGCGUAGCUCAGUGGUAGAGCGCCACCUUGCCAAGGUGGAUGUCGGGAGUUCAAGUCUCCUCGCCCGCUCCA